GAUGAACGCUGGCGGCGUGCCUAAUACAUGCAAGUCGAACGCGAGCACUUGUGCUCGAGUGGCGAACGGGUGAGUAAUACAUAAGUAACCUGCCCUAGACAGGGGGAUAACUAUUGGAAACGAUAGCUAAGACCGCAUAGGUACGGACACUGCAUGGUGACCGUAUUAAAAGUGCCUCAAAGCACUGGUAGAGGAUGGACUUAUGGCGCAUUAGCUGGUUGGCGGGGUAACGGCCCACCAAGGCGACGAUGCGUAGCCGACCUGAGAGGGUGACCGGCCACACUGGGACUGAGACACGGCCCAGACUCCUACGGGAGGCAGCAGUAGGGAAUUUUCGGCAAUGGGGGAAACCCUGACCGAGCAACGCCGCGUGAAGGAAGAAGGUUUUCGGAUUGUAAACUUCUGUUAUAAAGGAAGAACGGCGGCUACAGGAAAUGGUAGCCGAGUGACGGUACUUUAUUAGAAAGCCACGGCUAACUACGUGCCAGCAGCCGCGGUAAUACGUAGGUGGCAAGCGUUAUCCGGAAUUAUUGGGCGUAAAGAGGGAGCAGGCGGCAGCAAGGGUCUGUGGUGAAAGCCUGAAGCUUAACUUCAGUAAGCCAUAGAAACCAGGCAGCUAGAGUGCAGGAGAGGAUCGUGGAAUUCCAUGUGUAGC
rnacentral:rRNA from 1 species